CCAAGGCGGGGGAAAUCUCACAGACAGCAGCAGGACACAGCCUGCACACCAAGCUCGGGAGGAGCUGGGCAGACUCCGUUUAUACAGGAGUGAAGAAGAAAUCAAAAUAUUCUCAGAUGAAGAAAAGCAGAGAAUUUGUCAUCAGGAGACCUGCCCUAAAAGAAUGGCCCUAAUGGAAGUUCCUAAAAAAAGAGAAGACACUGAAAACAAAAAACAAAAAAAAAAACUUGAAGUAUUAUAAAAGUAUCAUAAAGAAAGAGGAGCAUAGUAAGCAAAAAUGUCCUGAAAUAAAUACAUCAACUCCCUUGCUGUCAUCCUCUUAUACUUUCUAGCAGAAACUACUGAGAGAUACAUUAUCUGAGCUCCAUAUCAAGCACAUAAAAGAUUGAGAAAAAUAAUGCAAUAAAUGUAAUUCUUAAAUAACAGA
rnacentral:lncRNA from 1 species